GCGGAGUGGGGUCCGGGGGGGAGCCCGGGCCUCGCCCACCACGCAGCCGCCACCGCUGCUGCUGCCCUCGGCCAUGGGUUCCGACGCGACAGUGGGUGGUCCAGCACCGACCGCGCUGCUGCCCCCCUCAGCUACAGCCUCGGUCAAAAUGAAGCCGGAGAACAAGUACCUGCCCGAACUCAUGGCGGAGAAGGACUCGCUCGACCCGUCCUUCACUCACGCCAUGCAGCUGCUGACCGCAGAAAUUGAGAAGAUUCAGAAGGGAGAUUCAAAAAAGGACGAUGAGGAGAAUUACUUGGAUUUAUUUUCUCAUAAGAAUAUGAAGCUGAAAGAGCGGGUGCUGAUACCUGUCAAACAGUAUCCCAAGUUCAAUUUUGUGGGGAAGAUUCUUGGACCACAAGGGAAUACAAUCAAAAGACUUCAGGAAGAGACUGGUGCAAAGAUAUCUGUGUUGGGAAAGGGCUCAAUGAGAGACAAAGCCAAGGAGGAAGAGCUGCGCAAAGGUGGAGACCCCAAAUAUGCUCACUUAAAUAUGGAUCUGCAUGUCUUCAUUGAAGUCUUUGGACACCCAUGUGAGGCUAACGCUCUUAUGGCCCAUGCCAUGGAGGAAGUCAAGAAGUUUCUAGUACCAGAUAUGAUGGAUGAUAUCUUCCAGGAGCAAUUUCUAGAGCUGUCCUACUUGAAUGGAGUACCUGAGUCUUCUCGUGGACGUGGGGUGCCAGUCAGAGGCCGAGGAGCUGCACCUCCCCCUCCACCUGUUCCCAGGGGCCGUGGUGUUGGGCCACCUCGUGGGGCUUUGGUGCGUGGUACACCAGUAAGGGGAGCCAUCACCAGAGGUGCCACAGUGACUCGAGGAGUGCCACCCCCGCUUACUGUGAGAGGCGCUCCAACACCAAGAGCACGAACAGGAGAUUCCAGGGAAUACCUUUGCCUCCACCCCCUGCACCAGAAACAUAUGAAGAAUAUGGAUAUGAUGAUACAUAUGCAGAACAGAGUUAUGGAGGGUACGAAGGCUAUUACAGCCAGAGCCAAGGGGACUCAGAAUAUUAUGACUAUGGACAUGGGGAGGUUCAAGAUUCUUAUGAAGCUUAUGGCCAGGACGACUGGAAUGGGACCAGGCCAUCACUGAAGGCCCCUCCAGCUAAGCCAGUGAAGGGAGCAUACAGAGAGCACCCAUAUGGACGUUAUUAAAAACAAACAUGAGGGGAAAAUAUCAGUUAUGAGCAAAGUUGUUACUGAUUUCUUGUAUCUCCCAGGAUUCCUGUUGCUUUACUCACAACAGAUAAGUAAUUGUCUAAGUGUUUUUCUUCGUGGUCCCCUUCUUCUCCCCACCUUAUUCCAUUCUUAACUCUGCAUUCUGGCUUCUGUAUGUAGUAUUUUAAAAUGAGUUAAAAUAGAUUUAGGAAUAUCGAAUUAAUUUUUUAAGUGUGUAGAUGCUUUUUUUCUUUGUUGUUUAAAUAUAAACAGAAGUGUAACUUUU